CCUACGGGAGACAGCAGUGAGGAAUAUUGGUCAAUGGCCGGAAGGCUGAACCAGCCAUGCCGCGUGAAGGUCAGUGCCCUAUGGGCGUUAAACUUCUUUUGUGCGGGAGCAAUAAUGGUCACGUGUGGCCAGACGAGAGUACCGUACGAAUAAGCAUCGGCUAACUCCGUGCCAGCAGCCGCGGUAAUACGGGGGAUGCAAGCGUUAUCCGGAUUUAUUGGGGUUAAAGGGUGCGUAGGCUGUGAGGUAAGUCAGCGGUGAAAUGCCCCCGCUCAACGGGGUGAAGUGCCAUUGAUACUGGCUUGCUGGAAUGCGGAUGCCGUGGGAGGAAUGUGUGGUGUAGCGGUGAAAUGCAUAGAUAUCACACAGAACACCGAUUGCGAAGGCAUCUCACGAAUCCGCGAUUGACGCUGAUGCACGAAAGCGUGGGUAUCAAACAGGAUUAGAUACCCGAGUAGUC
rnacentral:rRNA from 1 species